rnacentral:rRNA from 1 species
UGGGGAAUUUUGGACAAUGGGCGCAAGCCUGAUCCAGCCAUGCCGCGUGAGUGAAGAAGGCCUUCGGGUUGUAAAGCUCUUUCAGACGGAAAGAAAUCCCUUGGGCGAAUACCCUGGGAGGUUGACGGUACCGUAAGAAGAAGCACCGGCUAACUACGUGCCAGCAGCCGCGGUAAUACGUAGGGUGCGAGCGUUAAUCGGAAUUACUGGGCGUAAAGCGUGCGCAGGCGGUGAUGUAAGACGGAUGUGAAAUCCCCGGGCUCAACCUGGGAACUGCGUUUAUAACUGAAUCACUCGAGUACGGCAGAGGGGGGUGGAAUUCCGCGUGUAGCAGUGAAAUGCGUAGAUAUGCGGAGGAACACCAAUGGCGAAGGCAACCUCCUGGACUAGUACUGACACUCAUGCACGAAAGCGUGGGGAGCAAACA